rnacentral:ncRNA from 1 species
CUCUGAAAUUUUCACCGGGUUGGCUGAAGUACGUAAUAAAGCUGUUAUAUUCGGUAAAUUGAAUGAUUAGAGGAAUUGUGGGACGAAACGUCUUCAAUUCAUUCUUAAACACUCAAUGAGUACGACGUCUCAUUUGCUUGAAUGAAGCGUAAACAUUAGAUGUGUGUUCCACGUACGUCAUAUUUGGUAAGCAGAAUUGACGUUAUGAAAUGAACCAAACAUUAAGUAGAAG